CACAAGGUUCCGAAACGGGAAGCGGACGUUCGAUGAAACUUCCGUACAACCUAGAUAUAAACACAUCUAGACCAUACGAUCAAUUCACAAUAAGCAGAAAAUACAUAAUACCAAAAGGAUACUCGGGCAAAGACUUACUGUAACCUAUACAUACAUAUCAUGGCAACCAAGAAAAGUUGAUCUAUUCUGUUGUCUCUGUUGAUGGUCUUUACUCUCAUGAGCCUUUUUCCUACAAUUUCAGGUAAUGAAGGAGAAUGUCAACAACAGGAGAAAUGUGCGGGAAAAAGCCCGGAAUGGAUCUGCAAAGGAAGAUUUAUUUCUCUGAAUUACAAACUUGGAGGAAUUC